UGCGAAGGGGGCUAGCGUUGUUCGGAAUUACUGGGCGUAAAGCGCGCGCAGGCGGCUAUCCAAGUCAGUGGUGAAAGCCCGGAGCUCAACUCCGGAACUGCCAUUGAAACUGUUUAGCUUGAGGAUGAGAGAGGUGAGUGGAAUUCCCAGUGUAGAGGUGAAAUUCGUAGAUAUUGGGAAGAACACCGGUGGCGAAGGCGGCUCACUGGCUCAUUACUGACGCUCAGGCGCGAUAGCGUGGGGAUCAAACAGG
rnacentral:rRNA from 1 species